ensembl:lncRNA
CUUCUGAUUAGAGGCAGAGAGAAAAUAUCACCCUGAGUGGAGGCUGAGAUUCAAGAAGAGCAUGAAGUGCUGUCCCUAGAACACCAAUGAAUGGACAACGUGGCAUCCACAGAACUCAGGGAGUAAAGUUCUGUAAUGCAGUAUGAAAUCAUCUGGUUUUAUCCCGUUUACUCAAACCAGGGGCAGUAAAAUCUGAUUAUUUAUAAGGGUGAUGGAGUGCUCUGGCAACCAGCUGCUGCAGCUUCAUGUCAAGUACAAGAGAAAUUGUUUGGAAAAGCUCCGAGAAAUACAUAGAGAAACUUCUGCUAGCAUGAACACCUGACAACAUUUAAAACACUUCCCCAAAAGACAAAUGGUUAAAGGAAAACUUCACUGUAGUCAUGUAAUAACAAAGCGGAGAUCUAAGAAGAAAAUGUCUGAAGUCAUCCAUAUAGGUGGAGAAAAUGAACUGCAUUCAAAUGGAAAUAUUGGGAGCAAACAAUUUUCUAACAAGCAAGCUGGUUCUAGCUAAUGCAACCGCAGUCAGCUGAGCUCUCCUGAGGACAGAGGGGAAUGAGUCCCCUCAGUGAGGUGGGGCAAAACAAAAAAGUUCAAAUGGAGGUCAUAGCAACUUUUUGAUACCGCAGUGCAGGUUGCAGCCUGUGUUUGAGAAAAGCACAGCUCAGCAUGGGAAAAAGCGAUGCAAAGGCUGCCCUACACUGCUUUGAUCUUCAGCUGACCAAAUGAUCCCAUCUUGCCCUCCAGCAUAUGGAGCUCUCUGGGAUAUGAUCCCGCAGGCUUUCAUAUUGGCUUGGAGGUAAACUGAAAGCAGAUAGCGGUGUUAUCUAAGAGCUUUAAGGACACUUCCUGACUUCCCACAUGGCGUUACAUCCCUCUCUGCUUCAGUGGUGCUCUCCCCCUUGGCUCCAAGGACAUGAUAGCGACAAUGAGGAAAACAAGGACAUAUUAGAUGCCUGAUGAAAAUAUCAACAGUGCAGUAUGGGCGGAGGGGAGAGCAAAAUCUGUAGAAUGUUGUCCCCUUGUAAAGCUGCAGCAAAAACAAGAAGUUCAAAUGAAGGCUACAGAACAAUUUUUUCUCUUCAGGGGGGUAGCUUGGAGGUAGUGUAAGUGGCAAAAUCCUUUCACCUUAAAAUGAGGGUUUGAUUCCAGCCCAACAUGCACCAGGCUGAUGAGCCUGAAGGAGAGGAUGAAAUUUCCUCUAGCUCAUUGAUCCACUGAGAGUUUUACUUGCCAAGGAAUGAGAAACCCUAGUUAUUCUUUCAAAGGGAUCUGUACUAUUAUGCUGUUUUGAUAUGAAACAGGUUGUAAGUAUGCAAGCUAGCCAAACUUUACUACAGAAAUACUCUUGAUUUCUCUCAAAGGAGAUUAUUUUCCUAAAUGAGGCUCCUAUAAUCACUACAGUAUGAGCAGAAACAAUCAAAUUCUGCCCCUUACACAGCACAGAAUGACAUCGCAGUGGUAAAAUACUACAAUGCGAGCAAUUAUUUUUCAUCAUUACAUUGGCUGUAAUACUCUGUACAUUACAAUGAAUUUGCAGAAAAUAUAGUCGAAAAUUUAAGUUCAAAGAUUAACAUCAGAGUACCAUUUGUUUUGUCCCUGCAGUUUUUGAUUAAUGGAGAUUGUUAAUUCAUACUGCCUCUUGGUUGAUAGUGGAGAGGUUCAUUCAUUCCACUGUCUUGAAUUUAAAUUUAGACUGCUUAUAUGUGUUCAUAUUUUCAAUUUAUAUUAUUACAUCCACUUCUGCUCUAUUCUUUGUUCAUUAGGGACCUCUGAACACCAGCUUGAGGAAGUUCUGUUAAAUGAAUCGCAUGCCCUUUGCAAGAGCUCUUUGAAUGACAUGUGUAAUUAUCAACAAUUAACAAGAUGCUAAUUAUACCUUCAAAUUAUAAUCCUACUGAGCAAAAUAAAAAUCCUUUAUGGAAGAAAAAAUUGUUAAAGACACAACACUAUAUUAAACCAAAUGACAAAAAGUUUGGCAACUUCUAAUGGUAUAAAUCAAACAAACUGCUGAACACAUCACACAGCUUGCCAGAAUGGCUCUCUGCCAAUUAGCUCUUCAGUGCAUAUUCAGUAAGGUGGGGGGAGGGUAAUGUAGAAAAAUGAAGGAGGAAGGGAAUUUAACAGACAUG